GGGCUCUCCGCUCUGCUCCGCUCCGGCCGCGCGCAGCCCAGCGGCACCACCUGGGAAAGGUAGAGCGCUGCGACCUGCCGAGGGUUGGGAAAAACAUUGUCAACAAUUAACAUAGAAAGUAAUAGGAAUUGCUCUUAGUACAUCAAGACUCCCUUCCACCCCCCCAACCAGCUCGGGAUUGAAUGAUCUACCUAAAGGAUCUUCAGGGCUGUGUUCGAAUUGCCAUGGAAACAAAAGCAGAACUCGGGAACCAGCAGUCAGCCACUGAAGUUGAAAGGAUCCUGGCUGUUUGACCUGUUUCUCCUUGUCUUUCCAUGGAAACAGAGGUUUCAGAGGGGAGGGAAAAGCUUGCAAAACGGCAAUGUCACAGAACUGACCACAUUCAUCACAAUAUGGAGUCUGGAGAGCGGUUAUCGUCAUCAUCAACUUCCUCUACUGCAGCUACUUCGUCUCCAGCAUCUUCUACGCCUUCUGUAGCUUCAGCAGUUUCAAAGGGUGGCCUCCCCACUGGAGCUGCAUCACAGAGUUCUGCCGUCAACGCAUGUGGUCUUGAUAUAGAAAUGAUCUUGUGACUCCUUAAAUAAACUUUGAUGAAGAACAGAUCUGGUGCCUAAA
rnacentral:lncRNA from 1 species